GGGAGCGUUCCCAGGGCGUUGAAGCGGCAGCGAUAAGCUAGCCGUGGAGGCCUGGGAAGUGAGAAUGUUGGCAUGAGUAACGAGAGAGGGGUGAGAAACCCCUCCGCCGAAAGUCCAAGGGUUCCUGAGUAAAGCAAAUCUGCUCAGGGUUAGUCGGAACCUAAGCCGAGGCCGAAAGGCGUAGGCGAUGGAAAACGGGCUUAAUAUUCCCGUACCAGUCUAUAUUUGUUUGAACUAUGUGGUAACGUAGAAGUGAAAGAUCAGCCAGGUUUUGAUUGUCCUGGUUUAAGUGCGUAGGGAGUUCUGAUAGGUAAAUCCGUUAGAACAAUUCCGAGACACGAAUAGGAGGGCCUAGCCCACAAACUGAUCCUAAUCAUGCUACCGAGAAAAACCUCUAUGUGAGAAUAUAAACUGACCGUACUCUAAACGGACACACGUGGGUGAGGAGAGUAUCCUAAGGUGCUUGAGUGAUUCUAGGUUAAGGAACUAGGCAAAUUGGCCCCGUAACUUCGGGAGAAGGGGUGCCUUUUUAGGUGAGAUCAUUUACUGGUCAAGCUAGAAAAGGCCGCAGUGAAAAGGCGCGAGCGACUGUUUAUCAAAAACACAGGUCUCUGCUAACACGUAAGUGGAUGUAUAGAGACUGACGCCUGCCCGGUGCCGGUAGGUUAAGGAAGCGGGUUAUCCCUUUCGGGGGAGAAGCUCUCGACCGAAGCCCCGGUAAACGGCGGCCGUAACUAUGACGGUCCUAAGGUAGCGAAGUUCCUUGUCGGGUAAGUUCCGACGCGCACGAAUGGCGUAACGACUGCCCCAUUGUCUCAACAUAGGGCUCGGUGAAAUUGUAGUCGCGGUGAAGAUGCCGCGUAACCGCACAAGGACGGAAAGACCCCGUGAACCUUUACUGCCGCCUGAUAUUGGGCUCUGACACAUUAUGUGUAGCAUAGGUGGGAGGCUUUGAAGCGGGCACGCUAGUGUUCGUGGAGCCACAAUGUGAAAUACCACUCUUAAUGUGUUAGUGUUCUAACUUGGUACCUUGAAUCCGGGCAACGAACAGUGUCAGUUGGGCAGUUUGGCUGGGGCGGUCUCCUCCCAAAGAGUAACGGAGGAGCACAAUGGUACCCUCAGUCUGGUUGGCAAUCAGACGUAGAGCGUAAAGGUAAAAGGGUGCUUGACUGCGAGGCUUAUCAGCCGAGCAGGUACGAAAGUAGGUCUUAGUGA
rnacentral:rRNA from 1 species